GAAACGCGAUAUGUAAUGUGAAUUGCAGACUUUAGUGAAUCAUCGAAUCUUUGAACGCACAUUGCGCCCUGUGGUAUUCCGCAGGGCAUACCUGUUCGAGCGUCAUUACAACCUCUCCAGCUCUGCUGGGUCUUGGGGCUUGCCUUCCCGGGCAUCCCUUAAAACUAGAUGCGGCGCCGCGUGGCUCUAAGCGUAGUACUUUUCUCGCUUCUGGGUCCGCUGUGGUGUCUGCUACCAAACCCCAACUUUCUAUGGUUGACCUCGAAUCAGGUAGGGAUACCCGCUGAACUUAA
rnacentral:misc_RNA from 1 species